ensembl:lncRNA
UACACACAGAGCAGACACUUAAGUAAAAAGACAAUUUAUUUGUUAAUCAGAAUAUACAAAGCAGUGGCUGAAGUAACCGAAUGUCAUUCUGGUUCUGAAAAAGGCAGUCUUGUACACAAAACUGGGCUACCCAACCAUAACAUAAAACUCGUUGAAAAUGUAAGAAAAACAAAAGUAUAAAUGGUACAAACUUGCGUGGAAUGCAUACAGAACAAAUGACCAAAGCCUUAAGAUUUAAGAGGGGUUAAUUAACAUUGCAAAAUCCUGCCUCCACAGAACGAGGUCAAACAAUCUUACCAUGGAGGUGCACAACAGAGCCCCUUUAUUCAUUUGCACCAUCUGUUAACAGGGCAGCCAAGGAUUAAGUAGCAGCUCAACACAAAAAAUUACGCCUCAACUAAUAAUGCUAACAACUGUCAUUUAUCCCCCACUUAAAACUUAUCUUUGGUCCUUUAAGUGUGUCUGAGAGGUCAACAUGAGCCUUGGAGGUGAGCAGCUGCCUGUAUGUAUGAAUCAUCUGGUCAGCACUGACAUAAUAGAGAUUGUGCUUCUAAAAUACCGAUACAAAACCUCAGGAAAUGAAAAAACUGAUCUCACGGUGUGGCCCAAUUUGUACAAGUAGAAAAAAAGCUCAUUUUAAAGACCAAUAAAUAACAUUUCAUUUAAAAAAAAAAGGAUGCAGGGCCACUAUGUUUCAAGACUCCAGUGCAAUGUGGUAACAUGGGAGCAAACAAAAAAAAUUGAAAUCUCUCUCAAAGAUACAGAAAGCACAAGCUCUACAGCACAAUGUUGACCAGGCUGGUAAGACAGUGCUGCAAACAGGUUAGCAGGGCAGGGAACUAAGCCUCCACUUCUGCCUCUUUUGAAUCUCCAUUCUCCUCUGUCUUCUGCUUUUUUGUCUCCACCUUUUCCUUUAAAAAAUAAAAACAAUCAUUACCAAAUUAUCCUACAAACAUUAAAUAUGAGGAAUUAAAAUUGCACACUUCUGCAUGACAACCCACCUCCUCCUCUUCAGCUGCACGCUUCGCAGGCUGUGCAUCGGUCUCCUCAGCAGGGGGCGCCUCCUCUGCUUUCCCUAUAAGGACAGUUUGCCAC